GAUGAACGCUGGCGGCGUGCUUAACACAUGCAAGUCGAACGGAAAGGCCCUGCUUUUGUGGGGUGCUCGAGUGGCGAACGGGUGAGUAACACGUGAGUAACCUGCCCUUGACUUUGGGAUAACUUCAGGAAACUGGGGCUAAUACCGGAUAGGAGCUCCUGCUGCAUGGUGGGGGUUGGAAAGUUUCGGCGGUUGGGGAUGGACUCGCGGCUUAUCAGCUUGUUGGUGGGGUAGUGGCUUACCAAGGCUUUGACGGGUAGCCGGCCUGAGAGGGUGACCGGCGACAUUGGGACUGAGGUACGGACCAGACUGCUACGGGAGGCAGCAGUGGGGAAUAUUGCACAAUGGGCGGAAGCCUGAUGCAGCAGCGCCGCGUGCGGGAUGACGGCCUUCGGGUUGUAAACCGCUUUCGCCUGUGACGAAGCGUGAGUGACGGUAAUGGGUAAAGAAGCACCGGCUAACUACGUG
rnacentral:rRNA from 1 species